rnacentral:rRNA from 1 species
GAUGAACGCUGGCGGCGUGCCUAAUACAUGCAAGUCGAGCGAACGGACGAGAAGCUUGCUUCUCUGAUGUUAGCGGCGGACGGGUGAGUAACACGUGGAUAACCUACCUAUAAGACUGGGAUAACUUCGGGAAACCGGAGCUAAUACCGGAUAAUAUUUUGAACCGCAUGGUUCAAAAGUGAAAGACGGUCUUGCUGUCACUUAUAGAUGGAUCCGCGCUGCAUUAGCUAGUUGGUAAGGUAACGGCUUACCAAGGCAACGAUGCAUAGCCGACCUGAGAGGGUGAUCGGCCACACUGGAACUGAGACACGGUCCAGACUCCUACGGGAGGCAGCAGUAGGGAAUCUUCCGCAAUGGGCGAAAGCCUGACGGAGCAACGCCGCGUGAGUGAUGAAGGUCUUCGGAUCGUAAAACUCUGUUAUUAGGGAAGAACAUAUGUGUAAGUAACUGUGCACAUCUUGACGGUACCUAAUCAGAAAGCCACGGCUAACUACGUGCCAGCAGCCGCGGUAAUACGUAGGUGGCAAGCGUUAUCCGGAAUUAUUGGGCGUAAAGCGCGCGUAGGCGGUUUUUUAAGUCUGAUGUGAAAGCCCACGGCUCAACCGUGGAGGGUCAUUGGAAACUGGAAAACUUGAGUGCAGAAGAGGAAAGUGGAAUUCCAUGUGUAGCGGUGAAAUGCGCAGAGAUAUGGAGGAACACCAGUGGCGAAGGCGACUUUCUGGUCUGUAACUGACGCUGAUGUGCGAAAGCGUGGGGAUCAAACAGGAUUAGAUACCCUGGUAGUCCACGCCGUAAACGAUGAGUGCUAAGUGUUAGGGGGUUUCCGCCCCUUAGUGCUGCAGCUAACGCAUUAAGCACUCCGCCUGGGGAGUACGACCGCAAGGUUGAAACUCAAAGGAAUUGACGGGGACCCGCACAAGCGGUGGAGCAUGUGGUUUAAUUCGAAGCAACGCGAAGAACCUUACCAAAUCUUGACAUCCUUUGACAACUCUAGAGAUAGAGCCUUCCCCUUCGGGGGACAAAGUGACAGGUGGUGCAUGGUUGUCGUCAGCUCGUGUCGUGAGAUGUUGGGUUAAGUCCCGCAACGAGCGCAACCCUUAAGCUUAGUUGCCAUCAUUAAGUUGGGCACUCUAAGUUGACUGCCGGUGACAAACCGGAGGAAGGUGGGGAUGACGUCAAAUCAUCAUGCCCCUUAUGAUUUGGGCUACACACGUGCUACAAUGGACAAUACAAAGGGCAGCGAAACCGCGAGGUCAAGCAAAUCCCAUAAAGUUGUUCUCAGUUCGGAUUGUAGUCUGCAACUCGACUACAUGAAGCUGGAAUCGCUAGUAAUCGUAGAUCAGCAUGCUACGGUGAAUACGUUCCCGAGUCU